rnacentral:rRNA from 1 species
AGUGGGCGGCCUAUCCUGCUAGUCGAGCGGCAGACAGAGCAUGCUGCUCCUUGGAUCGCCAGAGGGGUGCGUAAGGCCUAUGAUCUGCCUGGUAUCGGUCGACAACGUUUCGUACGGACGCUAAUACCGCAUACGUCCUACAGCUGAAAGCGAGGGACCUUCAGGCCUUGCCCUAUCACAUGAGCCUAAGUCGAAUUAGCUAUUUGGUGUUGUAAUGGCUCACCCCCGCCACGAUCCCUAUCUGGUCUGAGACGAUGAUCAUUCUCACUGGAACUGAAACUCAGACCAGACUCCUACUCCAGGCAGCAGUGGGGAAUAUUGGACAUGGAGCGAAAGCCUGAUCCAGCCAUGCCGCGUGUGUGAGGGAGGUCAUCGGAUUGUAGAUCACUUUAACUUGGGAUGAAAGACAGUUCCCUAAUACUUUGCUGUUGUGACGUUGACGACACAAUAAGCACCGGCUAACUCUGUGCCAGCGGCCGCGGUAAUACUGAGGGUGCAAGCGUUAAUCUUAAUUACUGGGCGUAGACCGCGCGUACGUGUAUGUGUUAAGUUGGAUGUGAAUGCCACGGGCUCGAGCUGAGAACUGCAUCUGCAACUGAUACUGUACGACUAGGGUAGAGGGUGGGGUAUCUGCAUGUGUAGCUGUGCAUGCAUAUGAUAUAGAAAUGGAACACACGGCGAAGGCGACGCCCUCGUACUGGUACUGACACUGACGCUGCAAGAAGCGUGGGCGAUGCGAAACGGAUAGGAUACCCAUGCAUGCCAGCCGUGAACCGAUGUCCACUGACGUGGGAGAUCGUGGCACUUGGGUGCCAACUAGCCUAACGGUGAACCGUCUGGGGCAGUGACGACACAGGCUAGCUGAUGAUGACUGGCCGCCACCGUGAGCGUGUGGUACAUCACGCAACUACGUCUUGACCUGCAGAC